GUGGGGAAUAUUGGACAAUGGGCGAAAGACUGAUCCAGCCAUGCCGCGUGUGUGAAGAAGGUCUUCGGAUUGUAAAGCACUUUAAGUUGGGAGGAAGGGCAGUAAGUUAAUACCUUGCUGUUUUGACGUUACCGACAGAAUAAGCACCGGCUAACUUCGUGCCAGCAGCCGCGGUAAUACGAAGGGUGCAAGCGUUAAUCGGAAUUACUGGGCGUAAAGCGCGCGUAGGUGGUUUUGUAAGUUGGAGGUGAAAUCCCCGGGCUCAACCUGGGAACUGCCUCCAAAACUGCAUGACUAGAGUACGGUAGAGGGUAGUGGAAUUUCCUGUGUAGCGGUGAAAUGCGUAGAUAUAGGAAGGAACACCAGUGGCGAAGGCGACUACCUGGACUGAUACUGACACUGAGGUGCGAAAGCGUGGGGAGCAAACAGGAUUAGAUACCCCGGUAGUCC
rnacentral:rRNA from 1 species